rnacentral:rRNA from 1 species
GAACGCUGGCGGCGUGCCUAACACAUGCAAGUCGAACGGAGAUUAACGCUGAUGAAGCUUCGGCAGAUUCUGUUAAAUCUUAGUGGCGGACGGGUGAGUAACGCGUGGGCAACCUGCCUCAUACUGGGGGAUAACAGCUGGAAACGACUGUUAAUACCGCAUAAGCGCACAGCAUCGCAUGAUGCAGUGUGAAAAACUCCGGUGGUAUGAGAUGGGCCCGCGUCAGAUUAGCCAGUUGGCAGGGUAACGGCCUACCAAAGCGACGAUCUGUAGCCGGCCUGAGAGGGCGGACGGCCACAUUGGGACUGAGACACGGCCCAAACUCCUACGGGAGGCAGCAGUGGGGGAUAUUGCACAAUGGAGGAAACUCUGAUGCAGCGACGCCGCCGUGAGUGAAGAAGUAUUUCGGUAUGUAAAGCUCUAUCAGCAGGGAAGAAAGACUCGUAAGAGAGAUGACGGUACCUGACUAAGAAGCCCCGGCUAACUACGUGCCAGCCGCCGC